ensembl:lncRNA
GCUUCCUAAACUGCAGAUCUAGAGGGGUCAAGCAAGCAGACGGGGGCCUAGGUGGUUCUUUCGGGGCCAGAUGGAGAGAGUUAACACAGGACUUCUUUCCAUCUGGGUCUACAAGGCUGGAGCCAAAAUGGGGAUGCUCAGAAGACAAUGAGUUGAGAUUCCUGGAGGCAACAGGGUGGUAGACCGUGAGAAUGUUUCUAAAAGGAUCUGAUGGUCAUUCUGGUCCCCGGAGGAAUUACAGGGAAGCUGAACAGGUGGUUUGAAUCCUCCUUGCCUCUGAGACUGGCCAAGAGUGAGCCUCUGCAGCUAAGGAGAUGUGGGAACAGUGUGAUUUAGUCCUGCUCCCCCAAUAGCAGGACCUGAGCCCCAGUGAUUGAAGAUUAACCUAUAUAAAAUGAGUUUUUCUCUUUUCUUUCUAUUUUUGUUUCUGCAAUGUCUGAAUUUGUUGCUGCAUUUUUUUCCCCAGUUCAAACCAUGGUAAUAGGUUUUAGUUCCAGAUAAAUGGCAUUGUUUCCAAUUAGAUGCAAUGCAAUACAUGCCUCUGCAUAUGUAUCCCAUCCUCACCCUCUCUCCUCCCUUCUCUCCUCAUGAAGGCAGCAUCCCAGCCCAUCUAGUCCACUAAUCUCUUCCUCUGAACCCCAUAUAGCACUCACCUUUAGUAAAACACAUUUUGGAACCUAAAGAUCUAAUGUUUUUCUUGUUGAAAUCACCUUUUUAUAGUGUAAGGUCAUCUCAGGCCACCAACAUUCCCCAUAGGAGCUUUAACAAUUGCCUGCUUAUCUAGCCUCUCAGUCUACAUCUCAUUCAAUCUAUCCCCCCUCUUUGCCUCUAGAAUACUCAUUUUAAUCUGCAGAUUUGGUCCUUGUUUAAUACUUCACCGGCUAUCCUUUGCUUAUAGACAGAAGUCCAAAGGCUUAGAUUGGCCAGCAAAACCCUCCAUCAUGUCUUCUACUUGCACUGCACUCUAUCCUCUGUGCUGAACUAUUUGGAGUCCCUGAGUACAUCAUUAUUGCUCUGUUCUUCUGCACAUUUGAACAUGCCUUUUUCUCUGCCUAGAAUUCCCUUCUCCCUCAUAUUCAGAGCAGACUCUGUUCAACUUAAAGAUUCAGCUCAGAGAUCGCCCUGAGGAGCCUUCCCAAACCUGCUGGUUAGAUCUGAUCACACCUUUCUUGUGUGUUUGCUUGUAUCUUGUUAUUACCUCUAAUGUUGCACUUAUCACAUACUGUGGAAAUACUUUUUUGUUAACAUGUCUAUGUCGUCUACUAAAUCAAAUGCCCUUUGAGCCUUGGAUAGGGCCAGGUACAUAGUUGAUGCUCAAUAAAUGCUCGUUUUAAGAGCUAUAGAUAUAUAGCUAUGACAAAUGAAGGAAUAAUGUGUAACUUGUCUCCAUAUUGUCCUAAAAGACUCACAUUAAGCCUAUUUCCUAAAUCAUUGACUAUGUUCUCCAAAUUUGUCAAACUAAAAUUUAGCCCAGUAUUUAUAUUGAUGCCUUUAUAUUCACCCAGAAAAGUUGGGUCUGAUCAGAGUCAGGAAUGGGACAGAGAGAGGAGGGAUGGGAGGGGAGAAUUCCCUCCAUCUGCCUUUCUGAUGCCCAAAUCUACUACAAAUGGAGCCAGUUAUGGAAAGUGGUCAUUCUGCCACGUAGGAAAAGAAAACUUAUCUCUGUGGCUUUCUGCAAUAUACCAAAGUGUUGUAUGCUGUCCCCCUUCAACUGAGAAGCUGUCAGUCCAAGGUGGGAUGAAAGCUUCCACGAGAUCAAGCCAUUCACGUAUAGAAUCCGUGCACUGAAGCCCAGAUUCAGCCUCACACCUGUCUGCACCUUCUUGCCUCACUUCUGUUUAUCCCAUUUAUGUCCGUGAUGCUAGUUUGUACCCUUGCGCCUUCUGGGGACUAAGAAGCCUGCUGCCAAUUAUGCUUAUCUUCCAAUUGUUCCGUUGAAGCUUAAUUGGUGCCUUGUUGGCAGCAGUUUCACAGCAACCUAGACGAGGGUUUAACCUCUUGCUUGGUUGGCUGUAUGCAGGAUCACCUACUUCACUGCAAUUAGAGAAUCGUAUCACAGAGAUGAAUAGCGUGAUCACUUUCUGAAUUACUUGUGACUUGGUCUUAAGAAGAUUAUUUAAGAUUUGUUUUUUCUUUCCCCAGGAAAUCAUAGUAAUACCAAGAAGCUAAGAGGAAAAAUAAAUGAAGAGGGGAAAUUUAGGUCUUACUAUUCCUUAUAUGGAGGAUGGUGUCCACUGGUUAGAACACUGCAUGACUGGAAAAAUAGCACUUCUGUCAAGCAAAAUUGAAAAAGCAAGCAUCCGAGUGAUUUCAACCUCUCACUGGAAGCUGAAUGGCUGCUGAUUGCUAUAAGAAAGUGAGAUGAAUAAAGUGUACUGGAAACUUUCAUUUCCUGCUGCCUCACUGCUGCCUGGUCCCUUCAGAUGGAUCUGUGUCCUCCUGUGUGACAGGUAUUGGGCCAAGGUGAACACCUGGCCUAGGAUUGGUCCAUCCAUUGCUUACCAGUGACCCAGGACUUGAGUGGAUGGUCUGGCCUGAAUAGAUGAGCUACCACAAUCUGAUUUUCCCUCUCUGGACAUGGAUCCAGAAUAUUCAGCAGUAAGUUACCAACUCAAGGAUCUAUAGGCCUAAUGAAGAGGCUGCCAUUUAUGGUCAUGUUUAAGAUGGUUAAGUACAAAAAAAGUGAACAAUAGAAAGGAAAAUGACAGAAAUAUUCUAAGAUGCACUGAAGUGGUGAGAGAAAUGGAGACAAGAAAAUGACUGCUCCCCAAAUUUACCUUGGAUUCUCUCCAUCCUUUGGCCUGGGUGUUUUUUCUUCGUUUCCUAUGAUACUUUACUGGGUUUAAAAUAAAUUCUUUUUCUUUCUUAAGCGGG